GAUGAACGCUAGCGGCAGGCUUCAUACAUGCAAGUCGAGGGGCAGCAUAAAUUACUUGUAAUUUGAUGGCGACCGGCGAACGGGUGCGUAACGCGUAUGCAACCUACCUUUUACUAGAGAAUAGCCAAGAGAAAUUUUGAUUAAUGCUCUAUACACUUUAAGACUCACAUGAGUCUAAAAGAAAGCUCCGGCGGUAAAAGAUGGGCAUGCGUUCUAUUAGCUUGUAGGUGAGGUAACGGCUCACCUAAGCUUCGAUAGAUAGGGGUCCUGAGAGGGAGACCCCCCACACUGGUACUGAGACACGGACCAGACUUCUACGGAAGGCAGCAGUAAGGAAUAUUGGACAAUGGAGGCAACUCUGAUCCAGCCAUGCCGCGUGAAGGAAGAAGGCCCUAUGGGU
rnacentral:rRNA from 1 species